AUUGAACGCUGGCGGCAGGCCUAACACAUGCAAGUCGAGCGGAGCGGCGGACGGGUGAGUAAUGCCUAGGAAUCUGCCUGGUAGUGGGGGAUAACGUCCGGAAACGGGCGCUAAUACCGCAUACUAUCAGAUGAGCCUAGGUCGGAUUGGCUAGUUGGUGGGGUAAAGGCCUACCAAGGCGACGAUCCGUAACUGGUCUGAGAGGAUGAUCAGUCACACUGGAACUUAGAAACGGUCCAGCUUCCUACGGGAGGCAGCAGUGGGGAAUAUUGGACAAGGGGGGAAAGCCUGAUGCAGCCAUGCCGCGUGGAUGAAGAAGGUCUUCGGAUUGUAAAGGACUUUAAGUGGGGAGGCGUUACCCACAGAAUAAGCACCGGCUAACUCCGUGCCAGCCGCCGCGGUAAUUC
rnacentral:rRNA from 1 species